AGUGAACGCUGGCGGUAGGCCUAACACAUGCAAGUCGAACGGCAGCACAGUAAGAGCUUGCUCUUACGGGUGGCGAGUGGCGGACGGGUGAGGAAUACAUCGGAAUCUACUUUUUCGUGGGGGAUAACGUAGGGAAACUUACGCUAAUACCGCAUACGACCUACGGGUGAAAGCAGGGGAUCUUCGGACCUUGCGCGAUUGAAUGAGCCGAAGUCGGAUUAGCUAGUUGGCGGGGUAAAGGCCCACCAAGGCGACGAUCCGUAGCUGGUCUGAGAGGAUGAUCAGCCACACUGGAACUGAGACACAGUCCAGACUCCUACGGGAGGCAGCAGUGGGGAAUAUUGGACAAAGGGCGCAAGCCUGAUCCAGCCAUACCGCGUGGGUGAAGAAGGCCCUCGGGUUGUAAAGCCCUUUUGUUGGGAAAGAAAAGCAGCAGGUUAAUACCCCGCUGUUCUGACGGUACCCAAAGAAUAAGCACCGGCUAACUUCGUG
rnacentral:rRNA from 1 species